UACGUAGGGACCGAGCGUUGUCCGGAUUCAUUGGGCGUAAAGAGCUCGUAGGCGGCUGCUCAAGUCGAAUGUGAAAACUCGAGGCUCAACCUCGAGCCUGCAUUCGAUACUGGGCGGCUAGAGUCUGGUAGGGGGAUCUGGAAUUCCUGGUGUAGCGGUGGAAUGCGCAGAUAUCAGGAGGAACACCAGUGGCGAAGGCGGAGACCUGGGCCGAUACUGACGCUGAGGUGCGAAAGCGUGGGGAGCAAACAGG
rnacentral:rRNA from 1 species